rnacentral:lncRNA from 1 species
GUGGUCAUAAACCUUGUGUAAAAAUUUCAUAGAUUUCUAUUUACUUAAACUAAAGUUAUAGUGCGAAAACCAAGAAAAUGCUUAUUUGGGCCCUUUUUGGCCCCUAAUUCCUAAAAUGUAAGGACCAAAACUCCCAAAAUCAAUCCCAACCUUCCUUUUGUGGUCAUAAACCUUCUGUUAAAAUUUCAUAGAUUUCUAUUCAC